AGGUCGAAAUCGGCGGCGGCGUCCGCCUCCAUUGAGAAGAGGAUGGAAGGUGGCGCGCCGUGCGGGGUGAAGCUUCUGCAUACCCUGAACGUGGGUGGUCGCUGUGCUGUGGCGGCGGGGUGGCGUUGCAGUCACGGGUCUUGACAAGGAGCGGAGUGGGGGCGGCGGUGGUGACGGAUUUGAGGCGACGACGUCCUUCCACGCCAGUGUCGAAGAUCUCCAGGCAAAUGUGAUGGGGCAACUGCGCGACACGGCGUACCAUCAGGUCACGGCAUGCUCCAGUCCUCCCAUUGUUGACAGAUAUUGGGUGUUCCUCAAUCCUCAUCUAGUAGAGCGAUCCUAUCUUCUUCAGUGGGGGAUCCCCCAUCACGUGAUUCACGCCGAGUCUUCCGCAUCAGCAAUUGUCCACAUCUUUUUGCGCAAGCAACAGUGGGAAGUAAGUUGAUCAGGCCUGUUGUAGUGGAGUUGGGCAACUGCUCUCUUUGCCUUGCUGCCAUCUUGCUCCACAAAUAAAUUUUUCAUGCUGCUCAUGUGUUCUGGCAAGUUCAGUUGGCCGUUUGAAGCUGGUGGCAAGGAAAUGUGG